rnacentral:rRNA from 1 species
AAAUUGACGGGACCCCGCACAAGCGGUGGAUCAUGUUGUUUAAUUCGACGAUACGCGAAGAACCUUACCAGGUCUUGACAUCCCCUGCAAAGCUAUGGAGACAUAGUGGAGGUUAUCAGGGAGACAGGUGGUGCAUGGUUGUCGUCAGCUCGUGUCGUGAGAUGUUGGGUUAAGUCCCGCAACGAGCGCAACCCUUAUUGCUAGUUACCAUCGUUAAGUUGGGGACUCUAGCGAGACUGCCAGUGAUAAACUGGAGGAAGGUGGGGAUGACGUCAAAUCAUCAUGCCCCUUAUGACCUGGGCUACAAACGUGAUACAAUGGCUGAAACAAAGGGCAGCGAAGGAGCGAUCUGGAGCGAAACCCAAAAAAGCAGUCUCAGUUCGGAUUGAAGUCUGCAACUCGACUUCAUGAAGUCGGAAUCGCUAGUAAUCGCGGAUCAGCAUGCCGCGGUCGAAUACGUUCCCGGGCCUU